GACGAACGCUGGCGGCGUGCUUAACACAUGCAAGUCGAACGGAAAGGCCCUGCUUUUGUGGGGUGCUCGAGUGGCGAACGGGUGAGUAACACGUGAGUAACCUGCCCUUGCCUUUGGGCUAACUUCAGGAAACUGGGGCUAAUACCGGAUAGGAGCUCCUGCUGCAUGGUGGGGGUUGGAAAGUUUCGGCGGUUGGGGAUGGACUCGCGGGUUAUCAGCUUGUUGGUGGGGUGGUGGCUUACCAAGGCUUUGACGGGUAGCCGGCCUGGGAGGGUGGACGGGCAAAAUUGGGAUGAGGUUAGGGCCAGGAUGCUUACGGAGGCAGGAGGGGGGGAUAUUGGAACAUGGGGCGGAGGCUGAAUGAGGAAACGCGGGGGGGGGGAGAAGGGCUUUGGGUUGUAAACCGGUUUUCGCAGGGGAGGAGGUGGUAGUGACGGUAAUGGGUAAAGAAGCACCGGCUAACUACGUG
rnacentral:rRNA from 1 species